rnacentral:rRNA from 1 species
UACGUAGGCAGCGAGCGUUGUUCGGAGUUACUGGGCGUAAAGCGUGCGUAGGCGGUUGUCUAAGUUUGGUGUGAAAUCUCCUGCUUAACUGGGAGGGUGCGCCGAAAACUGGGUGACUGGAGUGUCGGAGAGGUAAGCGGAAUUCCUGGUGUAGCGGUGAAAUGCGUAGAGAUCAGGAGGAACACCUGUGGUGUAGACAGCUUACUGGGACGAUAACUGACGCUGAGGCACGAAAGCGUGGGUAGCAAACAGG